GGAUGUGAGGGUGAUCAGACUGCAACAUCAGCCACCCAUCGAUCACCAAGGUUGAUUCAGCUGGUCUGGCUGGCUAGGCGGGUGUCCCCUUCUUCCCUCACUGCUCCAUGUGCGUCCCUCCCGAAGCUGCAUGCUUGGUUGAAGAGGACAACCACCCCCAAUAGAGGAGGACCCGUCUUUGGUCAAGGGUAUACGAACAGCUGCGCUCCCGUGCUAGAACCUCCAAAGAAAUAGGCUAGGAUUUGGUGAUGGUUAUGUACCACUUCGUUACCAUAAAGAAGUCCUAACCUCUGCAUGCUGUAUUAUUGAAAGCAUCAGAAA
rnacentral:snRNA from 10 species